AUCCAACUGAUGAGUCCUAAAUAGGACAAAACGCACGUCCUGGAU
rnacentral:hammerhead_ribozyme from 1 species